GAGUAAACCUGAUGUGGCUGUUAGCUGGCUUAGGCAUGUGCUCGUCCAUCAUCUUUAUUUCUCCACCUGUGCACAUUUUGUAGACUUGGAUAAUGGCUCUGUCAUUUACAAGACUAUGUUUUCAAUAUACCCAAAGCAUGUUUAAAGAAUGUCAUCAAUAGGAACUUGGUUUCCUAUUAGAAACUAUACAACUUUCAGCAACGGAUCUCUUGGCUCUCGCAUCGAUGAAGAACGCAGCGAAAUGCGUUAAGUAAUGUGAAUUGCAGAAUUCAGUGAAUCAUCGAAUCUUUGAACGCACCUUGCGCUCCUUGGUAUUCCGAGGAGCAUGCCUGUUUGAGUGUCAUUAAAUUCUCAACCUUUCCAUUAAUUUGGUUUGGCUUGGAUGUGGGGGUUGCAGGCUUCAUUU
rnacentral:misc_RNA from 1 species